AUCUUUGCGCUUGGGGCAAUGACAAAGUUAGUGAGGUGAAUCCGAGACGCGUCAAUUGCUGGUUGAAAACUAUUUUUCCAUUUUCCUACCAGUAAUUUUUUUAAAUUAUAUUUU
rnacentral:snRNA from 1 species